UACGUAGGGUGCAAGCGUUAAUCGGAAUUACUGGGCGUAAAGCGUGCGCAGGCGGUGAUGUAAGACAGUUGUGAAAUCCCCGGGCUCAACCUGGGAACUGCAUCUGUGACUGCAUCGCUGGAGUGCGGCAGAGGGGGAUGGAAUUCCGCGUGUAGCAGUGAAAUGCGUAGAUAUGCGGAGGAACACCGAUGGCGAAGGCAGCCUCCUGGGAUAACACUGACGCUCAUGCACGAAAGCGUGGGGAGCAAACAGG
rnacentral:rRNA from 1 species